rnacentral:rRNA from 1 species
AUAUUGGACAAUGGGGGCAACCCUGAUCCAGCCAUGCCGCGUGUGUUAAGAAGGUCUUCGGAUUGUAAAGCACUUUAAGUUGGGAGGAAGGGCUUUAGGUUAAUACCCUGAAGUUUUGACGUUACCAACAGAUUAAGCACCUGCUAACUCUGUGCCAGCCGCCGCGGGAAUACAGAGGGUUCAAGCGUUAAACGGAAUUUCUGGGCGUAAAGCGCGCGUAGGUGGUUCAGUAAGAUGGGUGUGAAAUCCCCGGGCUUAACCUGGGAACUGCUUUCAUAACUGCUGAGCUAGAGUACGGUAGAGGGUAGUGGAAUUUCCUGUGUAGCGGUGAAAUGCGUAGAUAUAGGAAGGAACACCAGUGGCGAAGGCGACUACCUGGACUGAUACUGACACUGAGGUGCGAAAGCGUGGGGAGCAAACA